UACGUAGGGUGCGAGCGUUAAUCGGAAUUACUGGGCGUAAAGCGUGCGCAGGCGGUUUUGUAAGCCAGAUGUGAAAUCCCCGGGCUUAACCUGGGAAUGGCAUUUGGGACUGCAAGGCUGGAGUGCGGCAGAGGAGACUGGAAUUCCUGGUGUAGCAGUGAAAUGCGUAGAUAUCAGGAGGAAUACCGAUGGCGAAGGCAGGUCUCUGGGCUGACACUGACGCUCAUGCACGAAAGGCGUGGGGAGCAAACGAAGG
rnacentral:rRNA from 1 species